UCAUAUACCAAUUAAAAAAUGGUAUAUGAAAUAUGUGCCCUUUACUUUUUACAUAAUUAAACUUGUUCUUUGAUAAUUUCCUACAGUGCAUUCUAAAGAUUGUCACCCUCACCUCCUUAUGUCCCCAUACCCUAGAGCCUAUCCCUCCUCUAAGUCCCUUUUCUCUAUAUCACUUUUAAAUUAGCAUGUAAGGUUAGGUGUCAUCAUGGCACUUCUUAACAAAGUAUGCUUUGGUGAUUCUCCUUCCUUCCAUUCUGCCCAGCCCGUGAGUCUCAAGUAAGGCCAGUGUUUUAGGUAUGCUGGCCUGUCUCAGCAUUGUCAGAGCUAGCAGUGCCAAGAAAGGAAAGUAAGAAAUUUAAGAGUAAGUUUUUAAUUAUCUUCCUACGUUAUACCUCUAAAAGGACAACAUAAACCCCAUUUGUCUCCAUUUUAGGACCAGGCCUGAUUUCAAAAAGAAAGCCACCAGUCCCAGGAGUUGGCCAUAGUCACCAGCUCCAGGAGCAGACCAUAAUUUCCAGGAACAAGGUCAUAAAACUCCCCUCCCAAAGAACAGCCUGGAGAUAACCACAAGAAUGGGAAAAUACCUUAUCUCAGGACGGGCCACCUGUACUGGACAGCCUUAUCUUAUCCUGUGAUUAACUGUUCGUGACAUAGGAAUGCAGACCACUGACCACCUGGCACAAGCCAAUCAGAAGCCAACCCAUGUGACCUCCCCAGCACUCACCAAUGAAAUUUUAGAUUACCUUACCCACUCUCUAAAUAUAGAAGAACUAACAUAGUAGCCAAUCAAGAUUGUACUAAUAUCACCACUUUGGCCCCUAAAAUCACAUAAAAAUUACCUAUUGCUUCUAGAACAUUCUCACAGCCCAGCAUAAAAAAGGGCCUGUGAGCUCCACUGUAGUUGCCAUUUUCAUGAAUGGUUGACUCUCACAUGCUGGUUGUUUCUGCAGAAUAAACACUCUUUGUCUUUAUAUGCUAUUUGAGUCUGGGGUCUUCCUUCAGUGAUUCUCAGACCCUUACACCUCUACAUCUCACACUCAUUACCAUUUAAAAUUGUUGACUGUAGGUGAAGGCAGGAAGCAGCGGUUUGUCUGAAUUCAUAGCAUAAAGCUAAUAUCCACAUACACUCAUGGAAAGUCUGACUCUAAUGAAUUAGCUGCUGUGUCAUGCAUAAUUCAGUUAGAAGAUACUGAGGCAGUAUGAAUGUUGAGGACAAAAAUGGCUAUAAGAUCUUGGGUUUUGUUGUUGUAACAUGUUUAAUAUUGCCAUUAAAUUAAACUCCUUAAGCAUACUCCUAAACUACCACUUUUUUUUAAUUUUUGCCUUCUCUUCUCUGAAUUCUCACAGUGCUCUAAAGUUUUAUCCAUCACUGCCAUGCCUGAAGCUGUUCAUGUAGGGCAGGGCAGGUCUAUUUAUAGUCUUUGGUUUUUCAAGACAGGGUUUUUCUGUGUAGUCCUGGCUGUCCUGGAACUCACUCUGGAGACCAGGCUGGUCUCUAACUCAGAAAUCCGCCUGCCUCUGCCUCCUGAGUGCUGGGAUUAAAGGUGUGCGCCACCACGCCAGGUUCUAUUUAUAGUCUUGACUUGAUUUGGUUUGAUUUGUAACUCAGUGAAGAUGUUUGGAGACAAGCCACAUAGCCUAGAAAUAUCAAAAGAAAAGAAAACACUCAGUAUCUCACAAAUGCAUAAACUAAUGGAAACAAUAGUCUUUACCUUUCUCAUAUAAAUCAUAUACAACUCUGUCUAAGAUACAAUGAGACUAAGUUAGUGAUUCCCACCUUGCUCCAGUGUCUCUGUUUUUAGCUUACUAGAGAAAACUAGUUCUUCCAAAUGUCAGAUAGGCAUCAGCUCAUUCUUGCUCAGCUCUCCCUGAUGAUAUAGUAGGAAGUGGUAGAAUUUGCCUUGAUGAUCUGUGUAUUCUUGGAUGCUUACCUAAAGCCUUGUGGAUAUACACUGUAAGACAAGAAAGCAUUUAACAGAAAGAAUAAGAAAAAGUAAGUUCUACUCAGAAAUCCUUAAAAUUCUUAAGAAUAACUAAGGAAUCUUCGUUGGUGGAUCUGGGAAAUUGCAGUGAAUGGUCCUCUUCUUGAAUGAGGCAAGGCUUUGCAUAUUUGUUUUGCUUUUCCUACCUGUCCUUUUCUGGCUUGCCUUCUGUUGCUGUGAGAAAACAAAGAAACACAUAAAAGACCAAAACCAACUUUGUAGGGGAAAAGUUUAUUUGGCUUAUAGAUCCUCAUCACAAUUCAUCAUCAAGAGAUGCCAAGAUAGGAACUGAAGCACAACAGGAACCUGGAAGCACAAACUGCAGCAGAGACCACAGAGGACUGCUGCUUGUAGGCUUCAUGAUGGUUUGCUCAGUUUGCCUUCUUAAACUACACAGACCACUUGCACAGGAGUAGCACGGCCCACAGUGGGCUCAACAUUCCUAUGUCAGUCACUAAUCAAAAC
rnacentral:lncRNA from 1 species